ensembl:misc_RNA Metazoa_SRP Metazoan signal recognition particle RNA
GCUGGGUAUGGUGGUACAUGCCUGCAGUCCCAGCUACUCAGGAGGCUGAGGUGGGAGGAUCGCUUGAGCCCAGGAGUUCUGGGCUGCAGUGCGCUAUGCCGAUCAGGUGUCCGCAGUAAGUCUGGCAUCAAUAUGGUGACCUCCCAGGAGCAGGGACCACCAGGUUGCCUAAGUAGGGAUGAACCAGCCGAGGUCAAAACUCCCAUGUUCAUCAGUAGUGGGAUCGUGCCUGUGAUUGUCACUGCACUCCAGCCUGGGCAACAUAGAAACACCCCAUUUCUU